rnacentral:rRNA from 1 species
CCUACGGGUGGCUGCAGUGGGGAAUUUUGGACAAUGGGGGCAACCCUGAUCCAGCCAUGCCGCGUGCGGGAAGAAGGCCUUCGGGUUGUAAACCGCUUUUAGCCGGGAAGAAAAGGGCGAGGUGAAUAGCUUCGUCACUUGACGGUACCGGCGGAAUAAGCACCGGCUAACUACGUGCCAGCAGCCGCGGUAAUACGUAGGGUGCGAGCGUUAAUCGGAAUUACUGGGCGUAAAGCGUGCGCAGGCGGUUCGUUAAGUUCGAUGUGAAAGCCCCG